UACAGAGGGUGCGAGCGUUGUUCGGAAUUAUUGGGCGUAAAGGGCGCGUAGGCGGUGCGGCAAGUCACCUGUGAAACCUCUGGGCUUAACCCAGAGCCUGCAGGCGAAACUGCCGUGCUGGAGUGUGGCAGAGGGGGGUGGAAUUCCACGUGUAGCAGUGAAAUGCGUAGAGAUGUGGAGGAACACCGAUGGCGAAGGCAGCCCCCUGGGCUAACACUGACGCUCAUGCACGAAAGCGUGGGGAGCAAACAGG
rnacentral:rRNA from 1 species